CCUACGGGGGGCUGCAGUAAGGAAUAUUGGUCAAUGCCCGCAAGGGUGAACCAGCCAUUCCGCGUGGAGGAUGAAGGCCCUAUGGGUUGUAAACUUCUUUUAGAUGGGAAGAAAAUGCUAGAUGUAUCUGGUACUGACGGUACCAUCAGAAUAAGCACCGGCUAACUCCGUGCCAGCAGCCGCGGUAAUACGGAGGGUGCGAGCGUUAUCCGGAAUUACUGGGUUUAAAGGGUGCGUAGGCGGAUGAUUAAGUCUAAGGUGAAAGUUUGUCGCUUAACGAUAAAAUUGCCUUGGAUACUGGUUAUCUUGAAUAAGGAUGAGGAUGGCGGAAUGUGGCAUGUAGCGGUGAAAUGCAUAGAUAUGCCAUAGAACACCAAUUGCGAAGGCAGCUAUCUGGUCUUUUAUUGACGCUGAGGCACGAAAGCGUGGGGAUCGAACAGGAUUAGAUACCCCAGUAGUC
rnacentral:rRNA from 1 species